ACAGAAAAACACUUUCCGGUCAAACUAAUGUUCAUGUUCGUAUCUGUUUAUGCAUAAUCAUGCAUGUCAGACAAAUUUCUGAAUGUCUGAUGUCAUCAACUUUUUCUGAAUUUAUUUUGCCCAAAAUUAUUGGAUAUGAAUAGGCAUAAUUAAGCCUGUUCAUGCCGUCAGUUUUCAUAUUUAAUCGGGUCUAAAAACUUAUGUUUGAUCAGGCCUGAUCAUAUCGUUUCCCCAUAAUAAUACACAAUUAAUUGAACAGUGGUCAAAACUUGAUCGUAAAUAUUCCAUCGAAGAGCGCGGAUUAAAACUAAUGUUACAAACUGAUAAUGAAAAAGUAAUAAUACGACAAAAGACAAAUAAUUUUGAUGAUUGGGAAAUAGCUAUAUUUGGAUGUAAACUUUCAUCAAUUAAUAAUAGAGUAAAAAAUGACCUUAAUAAGUUUGUGAUGAUCGGAUAUAUUAAUCAUUAGAAAAGGAAGGCGUAUUCCUAUUGCUUGAGUGAUGUCUGAACUUCCGUCAAUUGCAGCAUGGAAAAAAUGUCUCAGAAAAAUAUAAUUGAUUACUCAUGUUUAUGACGCUUUUAUAUUUAUAUAUCAAACUAAUUGUCUAAUAGUUUU